rnacentral:rRNA from 1 species
CUAAGAAUCUUCCGCAAUGGACGAAAGUCUGACGGAGCGACGCCGCGUGAACGAAGAAGGCCGGAAGGUUGUAAAGUUCUUUUGCGGGUGAAGAAUAAGGCGAGGAGGGAAUGCCUCGCUGAUGACGUUAGCCUGUGAAUAAGCCCCGGCUAAUUACGUGCCAGCAGCCGCGGUAACACGUAAGGGGCGAGCGUUGUUCGGAAUUAUUGGGCGUAAAGGGCGUGUAGGCUGUUUUGUAAGCCUGGUGUGAAAGUGCACGGCUUAACUGUGUAUGUGCGCUGGGAACUGCAAGACUAGAGUCCGGAAGGGGGAGGUAGAAUUCCUGGUGUAGGGGUGAAAUCUGUAGAUAUCAGGAAGAAUACCGGUGGCGAAGGCGACCUCCUGGUCCUGGACUGACGCUGAGGCGCGAAAGCGUGGGGAGCGAACA